rnacentral:rRNA from 1 species
GGGGGAUAUUGCACAAUGGAGGAAACUCUGAUGCAGCGACGCCGCGUGAGGGAAGAAGGUCUUCGGAUUGUAAACCUCUGUCUUUGGGGACGAAUAAAAUGACGGUACCCAAGGAGGAAGCCACGGCUAACUACGUGCCAGCAGCCGCGGUAAUACGUAGGUGGCAAGCGUUGUCCGGAUUUACUGGGUGUAAAGGGUGCGUAGGCGGGUUAUCAAGUUGGAUGUGAAAUCUCCGUGCUUAACGCGGAGGCUGCGUUCAAAACUGGUAAUCUUGAGUGAGGUAGAGGCAGGCGGAAUUCCCGGUGUAGCGGUGAAAUGCGUAGAGAUCGGGAGGAACACCAGUGGCGAAGGCGGCCUGCUGGGCCUUAACUGACGCUGAUGCACGAAAGCAUGGGGAGCAAAC